rnacentral:rRNA from 1 species
UUAAAUUGAAGAGUUUGAUCAUGGCUCAGAUUGAACGCUGGCGGCAGGCCUAACACAUGCAAGUCGAACGGUAACAGGAAGCAGCUUGCUGCUUUGCUGACGAGUGGCGGACGGGUGAGUAAUGUCUGGGAAACUGCCUGAUGGAGGGGGAUAACUACUGGAAACGGUAGCUAAUACCGCAUAACGUCGCAAGACCAAAGAGGGGGACCUUAGG